rnacentral:misc_RNA from 1 species
UGUGUGUGUGUAUGUGCGCGGU